UACGGAGGGUGCAAGCGUUGUCCGGAAUCACUGGGCGUAAAGGGCGCGUAGGCGGCUCAUGAAGGCUGUGGUGAAAGUCCGGGGCUCAACCUCGGAUCGGCCGUGGCGACUCGUGGGCUGGAGCACUGUAGAGGCGGGUGGAAUUCCGGGUGUAGCGGUGGAAUGCGUAGAGAUCCGGAAGAACACCAGUGGCGAAGGCGGCCCGCUGGGCAGUGGCUGACGCUGAGGCGCGACAGCGUGGGAG
rnacentral:rRNA from 1 species